GGAAAGUCCAUUUCCAAUAUCAAAUCGAAUCAUUUCAAUGCAAUUACAUAAAUAUACACAUCUACAUAAGUUAAACAUAUAAAAAUAAUUGACAACAAAACUGUCAGGCCAUCAACUAAACUCAUCGGGCGGAUGCGAUGCAAUGCAACGCAACAGCAACAGAAGCAACAGUCAGGCGGUUAGUCAGGCAGGCCAGCAUGGCUGGCUGUCAGUCAGUCAAUCCAACUUGCAUACACCUAACUGCAAUGACAUAUGGGAAAAGGGAGAGGAGACAUCUAGGCAUCUGCCUUUGGGGUAACACCUACGAUACGGCGGUCUUCUCAUCCACCUACUCGAGCAUAGUCGGAUACUUGGUGAUCUUUGACACUCCCAACAUCAAUCAAAAAAUCAAAUUGAAAAAAAAUAUGUGAAUAUAUUUUAAAAAUAAUAUAUUUCCAUUCAGUGAUGGAAUGCAAACAAAUUAUAAAAUUAAAAAACGAAACAAAAAUAAAAAACGCAGAAGAUUUCUAAUGAAAAUGUCGGAAAACGAUUUUCAAAAAAAAAAAAAAACAACAACCAACGAAAUAUUCAUUCAAGUUGUCAGUGUUACGGAUGAUUGACCAUCGUUGGAAUAUUUUUCAGUCGCCUGCAGGAAUUCGAAGUGAAAAUUGGAUGGGUGUAUAUUCAUAUGGUAUAGGAAGUGGACAGAUGAUAUGGAAUGAUUUGAAGGAAUGUCAUUUGAUUUUGAAUUAAUUCAAAUUCCAAAGGAAAAAAUCGUUGGAAGGAAAACAUUUAAUGACGUAUUGUUUAAAUUUAUUUCCAUUUUCAUAUUACCUCUGCGUCUGUGGUCUAUUUGUCACCGAAUUCGCUGGAUAAAAUUAGAAGGAUAAAAAUAUGCAUAACAAAUUUUGGGAUUCUCCACAAGUCUAAUAUUUGUUUCCAGAUUUGGACAAGUACAAUUCUCCAUGAUUAAGGCAAUAACUUUUUUGGACCAGGGACUUCGUCUAGGUUUUAUCAGCCAUGAUGAUUCGAUUUUUAUGGAAACGAGAUUUAAAUAGAUGUUAAAAUAAGCUUC